UACGGGGGGGGUAAGCGUUGUUCGGAAUUACUGGGCGUAAAGGGCUCGUAGGCGGCCAACUAAGUCAUACGUGAAAUCCCUCAGCUUAACUGGGGAACUGCGUGUGAUACGGGAUGGCUUGGAUUUGGGAGAGGGAUGCGGAAUUCCAGGUGUAGCGGUGAAAUGCGUAGAUAUCUGGAGGAACACCGGUGGCGAAGGCGGCAUCCUGGACCAAUAUUGACGCUGAGGAGCGAAAGCCAGGGGAGCAAACGGG
rnacentral:rRNA from 1 species